GUUAUAUUAGCAUAUUAGUGCAUUAAAUUUAGAAUUUAAUUAAAUAAUGAAAAUUGUAUAUAAUA
rnacentral:tRNA from 1 species